rnacentral:rRNA from 1 species
UACGUAGGGUGCAAGCGUUAAUCGGAAUUACUGGGCGUAAAGCGUGCGCAGGCGGUUAUGCAAGACAGAGGUGAAAUCCCCGGGCUCAACCUGGGAACUGCCUUUGUGACUGCAUGACUAGAGUACGGGUAGAGGGGGAUGGAAUUCCGCGUGGUAGCAGUGAAAUGCGUAGAUAUGCGGAGGAACACCGAUGGCGAAGGCAAUCCCCUGGACCUGUACUGACG